rnacentral:rRNA from 1 species
UACGAAGGGGGCUAGCGUUGCUCGGAAUUACUGGGCGUAAAGCGCACGUUAGGCGGAUUGUUAAGUCGGGGGUGAAAUCCUGGAGCUCAACUCCAGAACUGCCUUCGAUACUGGCGAUCUCGAGUUCGGGAGAGGUGAGUGGAACUGCGAGUGUAGAGGUGAAAUUCGUAGAUAUUCGCAAGAACACCAGUGGCGAAGGCGCUCACUGGCCCGAUACUGACGCUGAGGUGACGAAAGCCAGGGGAGCAAAACGGG